GGGGAAUCUUGCGCAAUGGGAGCAAGCCUGACCGAGCGACGCCGCGUGGAGGAUGAAGGCCUUCGGGUUGUAAACUCCUGUCGAGGGGGAGGAAGGGGUAAAACCUUGACCGAUCCCUGGAGGAAGCACGGGCUAAGUUCGUGCCAGCAGCCGCGGUAAGACGAACCGUGCGAACGUUAUUCGGAAUCACUGGGCUUAAAGCGCGUGUAGGCGGAUGGGGACGUCGGUGACUGAAAGCCCCCGGCUCAACCGGGGAAGCGGCGCCGAAACGCCCCGUCUGGAGGGACGUAGGGGGACCUGGAACUUCCGGUGGAGCGGUGAAAUGCGUUGAGAUCGGAAGGAACGCCCGUGGCGAAAGCGAGGUCCUGGACGUCUGCUGACGCUGAGACGCGAAAGCUAGGGGAGCGAAC
rnacentral:rRNA from 1 species